GACAGAGGGUGCAAACGUUGUUCGGAAUUACUGGGCGUAAAGCGCGUGUAGGCGGUUAUGCAAGUCGGGUGUGAAAGCCCGGGGCUCAACCCCGGGAGGCGGAUGGAUACUGCAAGGCUCGAGUACGGAAGAGGCGAGUGGAAUUCCCGGUGUAGCGGUGAAAUGCGCAGAUAUCGGGAGGAACACCAAUGGCGAAGGCAGCUCGCUGGGACGUUACUGACGCUGAGACGCGAAAGCGUGGGGAGCAAACAGG
rnacentral:rRNA from 1 species